rnacentral:rRNA from 1 species
UAAAACUUUAAUUUAUAAAAUCUUGAUUAGUAAUAGCUAUGUUCUUGAAAAUUAAAAAAUUUGGCGGUAUUUUAGUCAAUUCAGAGGAACCUGUCCUAUAAUUGAUAGUCCACGAUAAAAUUAACUUAUUUUUUUAAUUUGUAUAUCGUUGUUUAGAAUUUCUUUUUUGAGAUAAUUUUCAAUUGUUUUUAAUAAAAUAAAUUUCAGAUCAAGGUGCAGUUUAUAAAUAAGAAUUGAUGGGUUACAAUGAAAUUAUAUUUGGUUAUUUAGUUUAAAUUCUGGAUAUAAAUUGGAUUUGAUUGUAAUUAAAAAAAUUUUUUUUUAAUGAUCAUUGUUCUGAAAUAUGU